GCAGUCGAACGGUAACAUAAAGAAGCUUGCUUCUUUGAUGACGAGUGGCGUUCGGGUGAGUAAUGCUUGGGAAUCUAGCUUAUGGAGGGGGAUAACUACGGGAAACUGUAGCUAAUACCGCGUAAUAUCGAAAGAUUAAAGUGUGGGACCUUCGGGCCACAUGCCAUAGGAUGAGCCCAAGUGGGAUUAGGUAGUUGGUGAGGUAAAGGCUCACCAAGCCGACGAUCUCUAGCUGGUCUGAGAGGAUGACCAGCCACACUGGGACUGAGACACGGCCCAGACUCCUACGGGAGGCAGCAGUGGGGAAUAUUGCGCAAUGGGGGCAACCCUGACGCAGCCAUGCCGCGUGAAUGAAGAAGGCCUUCGGGUUGUAAAGUUCUUUCGGUAGCGAGGAAGGCAUUUAGUUUAAUAGACUAGGUGAUUGACGUUAACUACAGAAGAAGCACCGGCUAACUCCGUGCCAGCAGCCGCGGUAAUACGGAGGGUGCGAGCGUUAAUCGGAAUAACUGGGCGUAAAGGGCACGCAGGCGGUGACUUAAGUGAGGUGUGAAAGCCCCGGGCUUAACCUGGGAAUUGCAUUUCAUACUGGGUCGCUAGAGUACUUUAGGGAGGGGUAGAAUUCCACGUGUAGCGGUGAAAUGCGUAGAGAUGUGGAGGAAUACCGAAGGCGAAGGCAGCCCCU
rnacentral:rRNA from 1 species